rnacentral:rRNA from 1 species
UACGUAGGGUGCAAGCGUUGUCCGGAAUUAUUGGGCGUAAAGAGCUCGUAGGCGGUUCGUCGCGUCGGCUGUGAAAACCUGAGGCUCAACCUCAGGCCUGCAGUCGAUACGGGCGGACUUGAGUACUGCAGGGGAGACUGGAAUUCCUGGUGUAGCGGUGAAAUGCGCAGAUAUCAGGAGGAACACCGGUGGCGAAGGCGGGUCUCUGGGCCAAUACUGACGCUGAGGAGCGAAAGCGUGGGGAGCGAACAGG